AGACAUACAGGUCGAGCAGGGUCGAAAGACGGACUUAGUGAUCCGGUGGUUCCGCAUGGAAGGGCCAUCGCUCAACGGAUAAAAGCUACCCCGGGGAUAACAGGCUUAUCUCCCCCAAGAGUUCACAUCGACGGGGAGGUUUGGCACCUCGAUGUCGGCUCAUCGCAUCCUGGGGCUGUAGUCGGUCCCAAGGGUUGGGCUGUUCGCCCAUUAAAGCGGUACGCGAGCUGGGUUCAGAACGUCGUGAGACAGUUCGGUCCCUAUCCGUCGUGGGCGCAGGAAAUUUGAGAGGCGCUGUCCUUAGUACGAGAGGACCGGGAUGGACAUACCCCUGGUGGACCAGUUGUCGUGCCAACGGCAUUGCUGGGUAGCUAUGUAUGGACGGGAUAAGUGCUGAAAGCAUCUAAGCAUGAAGCCCCCCUCAAGAUGAGAUUUCCCCAUUAGAUCCCUCAGAGAUGAUGAGGUGGAUAGGUUCGGCGUGUACGUGUGGUGACACAUUCAGCGGACGAAUACUAAUCGAUCGAUGACUUAUUCAAG
rnacentral:rRNA from 1 species